rnacentral:rRNA from 1 species
AAAGGCCCUGCUUGCAGGGUACUCGAGUGGCGAACGGGUGAGUAACACGUGGGUGAUCUGCCCUGCACUUCGGGAUAAGCUUGGGAAACUGGGUCUAAUACCGGAUAGGACCGCACUUUAGUGUGUGUGGUGGAAAGUUUUUUCGGUGUAGGAUGAGCUCGCGGCCUAUCAGCUUGUUGGUGGGGUAAUGGCCUACCAAGGCGGCGACGGGUAGCCGGCCUGAGAGGGUGUACGGCCACAUUGGGACUGAGAUACGGCCCAGACUCCUACGGGAGGCAGCAGUGGGGAAUAUUGCACAAUGGGCGCAAGCCUGAUGCAGCGACGCCGCGUGGGGGAUGAAGGCCUUCGGGUUGUAAACUCCUUUCGCUAGGGACGAAGCUUUUUGUGACGGUACCUAGAUAAGAAGCACCGGCUAACUACGUGCCAGCAGCCGCGGUAAUACGUAGGGUGCGAGCGUUGUCCGGAAUUACUGGGCGUAAAGGGCUCGUAGGUGGUUUGUCGCGUCGUCUGUGAAAUUCUGGGGCUUAACUCCGGGCGUGCAGGCGAUACGGGCAUAACUUGAGUGCUGUAGGGGUAACUGGAAUUCCUGGUGUAGCGGUGAAAUGCGCAGAUAUCAGGAGGAACACCGAUGGCGAAGGCAGG